GGAAGGUAGCUUGCUACCUAACCUAGCGGCGGACGGGUGAGUAAUGCUUAGGAAUCUGCCUAUUAGUGGGGGACAACAUUCCGAAAGGAAUGCUAAUACCGCAUACGCCCUACGGGGGAAAGCAGGGGAUCUUCGGACCUUGCGCUAAUAGAUGAGCCUAAGUCAGAUUAGCUAGUUGGUGGGGUAAAGGCCUACCAAGGCGACGAUCUGUAGCGGGUCUGAGAGGAUGAUCCGCCACACUGGGACUGAGACACGGCCCAGACUCCUACGGGAGGCAGCAGUGGGGAAUAUUGGACAAUGGGCGAAAGCCUGAUCCAGCCAUGCCGCGUGUGUGAAGAAGGCCUUUUGGUUGUAAAGCACUUUAAGCGAGGAGGAGGCUACUGAGAUUAAUACUCUUGGAUAGUGGACGUUACUCGCAGAAUAAGCACCGGCUAACUCUGUGCCAGCAGCCGCGGUAAUACAGAGGGUGCGAGCGUUAAUCGGAUUUACUGGGCGUAAAGCGUGCGUAGGCGGCUUUUUAAGUCGGAUGUGAAAUCCCUGAGCUUAACUUAGGAAUUGCAUUCGAUACUGGGAAGCUAGAGUAUGGGAGAGGAUGGUAGAAUUCCAGGUGUAGUCGGUGAAAUGCGUAGAGAUCUGGAGGAAUACCGAUGGCGAAGGCAGCCAUCUGGCCUAAUACUGACGCUGAGGUACGAAAGCAUGGGGAGCUAACAGGAUUAGAU
rnacentral:rRNA from 1 species